rnacentral:tRNA from 1 species
UCUCUGGUGGUCCAGUGGUUAAGACUCUGCACUUCCACUGCAGGGGGGCACAGGUUAGAUCCCUGGUUGGCGAA